rnacentral:rRNA from 1 species
AACGAACGCUGGCGGCAUGCCUAACACAUGCAAGUCGAACGAGAUCUUCGGGUCUAGUGGCGCACGGGUGCGUAACGCGUGGGAAUCUGCCCUCAGGUUCGGAAUAACCAUUGGAAACGAUGGCUAAUACCGGAUGAUGACGUUAAGUCCAAAGAUUUAUCGCCUGAGGAUGAGCCCGCGUAGGAUUAGCUAGUUGGUGUGGUAAAGGCGCACCAAGGCGACGAUCCUUAGCUGGUCUGAGAGAAUGAUCAGCCACACUGGGACAGAGACACGGCCCAGACUCCUACGGGAGGCAGCAGUGGGGAAUAUUGGACAAUGGGCGAAAGCCUGAUCCAGCAAUGCCGCGUGAGUGAUGAAGGCCUUAGGGUUGUAAAGCUCUUUUACCCGGGAUGAUAAUGACAGUACCGGGAGAAUAAGCUCCGGCUAACUCCGUG